rnacentral:rRNA from 1 species
AUUGAACGCUGGCGGCAGGCCUAACACAUGCAAGUCGAACGAGUGGCGGACGGGUGAGUACUGUAUGGAAAACUGCCUGUUGGAGGGGGAUAACUGCUGGAAACGGUAGCUAACAUCGCAAACCCACUGAUGUGCCAAUAUGGGAUUAGCUAGUAGGUGGGGUAACGGCUCACCUAGGCGACGAUCCCUAGCUGGUCGGAGAGGUUGACCAGCCACACUGGAACUGAGACACGGUCCAGACUCCUACGGGAGGCAGCAGUGGGGAAUAUUGCACAAUGGGGGCAAGCCUGAUGCAGCCAUGCCGCGUGUAUGAAGAAGGCCUUCGGGUUGUAAAGUACUUUCAGCGGGGAGGCGUUACCCGCAGAAGAAGCACGGGCGAACUCCGUGCCAGCAGCCGCGGUAAUUC